AUGCCAUGUUGGGGGAACUUUUGGAGUAGUCGUUUAAACCUUUCCUAUGCCUCGUACAAGGAUUCACUUUCUUUUUGUUCAAAAGCAGUAAUUUCUGCUUUGAGCAU